rnacentral:tRNA from 1 species
CAGGAAAUAGUUUAUAAAAAUAUUAAUUUUGGAGAUUAAAGUUGGGAUAUUUCCUUUUCUGA